ACACGUGUUGAUGUGAGCAGGGUGUGUGUGUGUGUGUGUGUGCUCGGUGGGUCCUGCUCCUCCACUUCAUAAUUCGGCCGAUGACGACGCGGCGACCGAUGACGAGGCCUGACGUGAUGAUGGUGAUGAUGCCCUGCCGGUGAUGAGGGGUGGUAUACGGACUUACCUGUCUCGGGGGAGUCGGAAACCGAUGCCGAGGGCCAUUCACAAACACGACCGCCACCUCCUUGCCUACCACCACCACCACCACCGCCACCGCCACCAUUACCACCACCCCUCACCGCCACCAUUACCACCACCCUCCUCACCACAGUUGCCUGCAGUAAGCAUUUCCGAGCUGCCGAUACAAAGGCCUGGCUGGGGAGAACUCUCAAGCAAUCUGUGACAUCAAGAUCAAGAUCAGCCGGGAGUUUGGGGGACCUUUUUGCUGCUUGAGACCAUAUUGAUGUACGUAGUGUUGAAUCCACUCCUAGAAGAUGAGGUUCAUUUCCUGUGUAAGGCUGAAGAAUGUACAAUGGCUGCUUGCCCCAUGGACCUGGUGAGCAGCUGAGACAAACUGCCAGGCUGAAGAUCAGUAUUUCUUAAACUCCUGGUGCACCAGUAAACACCAGCAUGUACAGCCAGGAGUCUGGGCUACAGAGCAUGGAAAAAAUAACAGGUGCGUGUGGACGACGGUCAGUGGCACGUGCUGGUGGUGCACCGAUGCAAGCGGCUCGGCGUCCUGAGGGCUGACAACGAACGUCAAGUGAAGGGCCUCGCUGAGCGGGGCUCCACCACACUCAACACUGACGGCAGACUCUGGAUCAGUAAUGAAAAUGUCAAAUUCUGUAGUUAGCAGAGGAAGCUUCACUCCUUGAAAAAACAUAUUGUCUUUGGAUUAUACUUCCUCUCAACAUUGAUCAGCCAAGCACAGUAUUACAUUAGUCCACUGUACUCCGACAAACUUCAUGGCUUGCAGAUCACCUGACACAAUUAUUACACCUCAGCAUCACAGUGAAAUAUUAAGUUUUUGCAAUACCACUUGUGAGUAGAGGUGAGGUCGAGGUCUCUCUCUCUCUCUCUCUCUCUCUCUCUCUCUCUCUCUCUCUCUCUCUCUCUCUCUCUCUCUUAGAAAUUGCAUUCAUUCACUCCUGUCCAUUAAUUUUAUAUAUUUCAUCACGGCAGUUUACCUCUGAGAAGGCUCCCAACUUUCCCUGUUCUAGCACUCACACUCAAUCCCUCAUCUACCAUUUAUCUCCAAUACUAGUCCACUCUUCAGUCCAUUUCAUUACUAAGCUUUCCCUUCACACCCUCUCCUACAGUCCUGCACUCAUAUACUUUCAACAAAGUCAUCACUUGUCCAAAAUUGCUUGCAGCACUACACUCCACUGUUGGCUCCCUUUGAUGUUACCCCCUUACCAAAGCACUGUACAUUAAAUGGUUACUCUUCACACCAUCCUGACACACCACCACAUACACCUCUCAAGUAGUUAAUUCCCACUGUGCCUAUAUAUAAUUAUGCUACAUUCCCCACACGUCUACUGCAUAUGACAGUUGACAAUAAUGAAGUUUUUUAUACCCUUCUACAUCCCCAUCCUCACACUUCCUUUCCUAACCAAAAGCGUCUGCCCUUCAGUGCUUUCUCAUCUCCUUCCGAGCUCCCAUGCUUAUGUAGAACUGUCCCAAAGUACUAAUAAUCACACCUUUCUACCCCCAACCAGGACUUACUCUGUCAUUCUCUCUGCCCAAACUCCAUCUAAAUGUAUUCUAUCUCAAUCUCAGAUGCCUCAGUCUAUCACAACUUCCCUCAAUUGUGUGACCGAGGCAAAAAUGUCUAGCUGUUCUUAUUCCAGCACUCAGCCCUUCUAUUCCCUCCAAUAUUCAUCCAUUCUGUUAAUCCAUUUCACUGGUCCCUCAAGCCUGUCCUACACCUCACAAAGCGGUCUCGUUCAUUCUCAUUGCAUGUACAGACUGUCUCAGUGCACCAGUCUUUACUUAUUCUGAAACUAAAUCCACUAAUCCACUCCCUAUGCUGUCACACCCAUACCAAACCUUUCAUACAUGCUACAUCUAACAUUCAUGUUUCUGAUGACUAUAUGAGUUAGGAUAAUACUUAUUUUACCAAUCUUUGCCCUGUUUCUCUCAGCAACACAAUCAUAUGCACGUAGGCUUGCCACCAAUGAUUGCUCUUUACCUCUUUUCUAGUCCUACUUGGCUGUCUUUUCUCUAAUAUAAUUGGACAAAUAUGUACAUUAAAUAACCUUGUUGAACUCAGCCACACCAAAGCUUCCACUCAGCUCCCUGUUCAUGUGCACAGAGGCACUAAAGAUCCAAUUCUUUUUUAGUAAAUGCCCUCACACUCAGUCCUCAAAACAUCCCAUAAAUCUAUCUUGUUACACCCUUCCCUCUUCCAAUCCUGUCCAUACCACUCCCAAACUACAUGUCCUUCAGAGGCAUUUCACUAACACCUUUCUUUACAUAAAUACUUCUAUCACUUUCUCCUUUCCCAUUCAUUCAGUCUGUCCAUAUUGAUACUUGUAACUUUAAGGAGCUCCUUUCUUCUCUCCUUCCCCUUGAAAAAAUGGAUGUCCUGUUGCUCCUGGCCAUUUGUUGUCCAGCUGCCUUGUUUACAUCAUUACCAUGGAAUCCAGUGUGGAGUUUGUGUGUGCAUGAUAUGUAGUGGAUACUCUUGACUGGAAUCUGUAAAGAAAAUAUUACGAUGAAUUAUAAUGUACUUUAAUAAACAUACAAGAAAGA